AUGUUUUUUAUGACCUCACUAACUGAUGAUUGUUAUGGUAUGUUUUUAGGGAUAGAUACCAACGCUUCAUCUUCAUCCUCUUUUCCCCACAUGCACAUGCAUGCAUGCAUUAGGAUAAAAGUUGAUGUCAUCUUAGAUUCUUCACAUCUCAAAAACUUGAAAUUUUUUGUAGCUCAAACCAUCGGUUCGAUUCAAAUUCCUUUCACCAUUAAAUUCAUGAUGAGACCUUUGAAACUAGAUUCUAUGUUGGUAUAUUUUGAUGACUUCUUUUUCGGGUCAAAAGUUAUCAGGCUAUGCCAGUUAUCAUGCAUGUCAUACAUAAGGCACCAUGUUGGUUAA
rnacentral:rRNA from 1 species